rnacentral:rRNA from 1 species
GUGAGUAGUUCAGAGUUUGAUCCUGGCUCAGGAUGAACGCUGGCGGCGUGCUUAACACAUGCAAGUCGAACGGGCGGAGGGAGCUUGCUCCCGAAGCUAGUGGCGGACGGGUGAGUAACGCGUGGGUAACCUGCCUCAUACAGGGGGAUAACAGUGAGAAAUCACUGCUAAUACCGCAUAUGCGCACAGUACCGCAUGGUACAGUGUGGAAAACUCCGGUGGUAUGAGAUGGACCCGCGUUGGAUUAGCUAGUUGGUGAGGUAGAGGCUCACCAAGGCGACGAUCCAUAGCCGGCCUGAGAGGGUGGACGGCCACAUUGGGACUGAGACACGGCCCAG